AGAGUUUGAUCAUGGCUCAGAUUGAACGCUGGCGGCAGGCCUAACACAUGCAAGUCGAACGGUAACAGGAAGCAGCUUGCUGCUUCGCUGACGAGUGGCGGACGGGUGAGUAAUGUCUGGGAAGCUGCCUGAUGGAGGGGGAUAACUACUGGAAACGGUAGCUAAUACCGCAUAAUGUCGCAAGACCAAAGAGGGGGACCUUCGGGCCUCUUGCCAUCGGAUGUGCCCAGAUGGGAUUAGCUUGUUGGUGGGGUAACGGCUCACCAAGGCGACGAUCCCUAGCUGGUCUGAGAGGAUGACCAGCCACACUGGAACUGAGACACGGUCCAGACUCCUACGGGAGGCAGCAGUGGGGAAUAUUGCACAAUGGGCGCAAGCCUGAUGCAGCCAUGCCGCGUGUAUGAAGAAGGCCUUCGGGUUGUAAAGUACUUUCAGCGGGGAGGAAGGGAGUAAAGUUAAUACCUUUGCUCAUUGACGUUACCCGCAGAAGAAGCACCGGCUAACUCCGUGCCAGCAGCCGCGGUAAUACGGAGGGUGCAAGCGUUAAUCGGAAUUACUGGGCGUAAAGCGCACGCAGGCGGUUUGUUAAGUCAGAUGUGAAAUCCCCGGGCUCAACCUGGGAACUGCAUCUGAUACUGGCAAGCUUGAGUCUCGUAGAGGGGGGUAGAAUUCCAGGUGUAGCGGUGAAAUGCGUAGAGAUCUGGAGGAAUACCGGUGGCGAAGGCGGCCCCCUGGACGAAGACUGACGCUCAGGUGCGAAAGCGUGGGGAGCAAACAGGAUUGGAUACCCUGGUAGUCCACGCCGUAAACGAUGUCGACUUGGAGGUUGUGCCCUUGAGGCGUGGCUUCCGGAGCUAACGCGUUAAGUCGACCGCCUGGGGAGUACGGCCGCAAGGUUAAAACUCAAAUGAAUUGACGGGGGCCCGCACAAGCGGUGGAGCAUGUGGUUUAAUUCGAUGCAACGCGAAGAACCUUACCUGGUCUUGACAUCCACGGAAGUUUUCAGAGAUGAGAAUGUGCCUUCGGGAACCGUGAGACAGGUGCUGCAUGGCUGUCGUCAGCUCGUGUUGUGAAAUGUUGGGUUAAGUCCCGCAACGAGCGCAACCCUUAUCCUUUGUUGCCAGCGGUCCGGCCGGGAACUCAAAGGAGACUGCCAGUGAUAAACUGGAGGAAGGUGGGGAUGACGUCAAGUCAUCAUGGCCCUUACGACCAGGGCUACACACGUGCUACAAUGGCGCAUACAAAGAGAAGCGACCUCGCGAGAGCAAGCGGACCUCAUAAAGUGCGUCGUAGUCCGGAUUGGAGUCUGCAACUCGACUCCAUGAAGUCGGAAUCGCUAGUAAUCGUGGAUCAGAAUGCCACGGUGAAUACGUUCCCGGGCCUUGUACACACCGCCCGUCACACCAUGGGAGUGGGUUGCAAAAGAAGUAGGUAGCUUAACCUUCGGGAGGGCGCUUACCACUUUGUGAUUCAUGACUGGGGUGAAGUCGGAACAAGGUA
rnacentral:rRNA from 1 species